AAACUUGAAUUUCAGAUAUGCAAUGAAAAAUGUUUGGAUAAGUAUGUCCUAUGCAACACUCGAGAUAUAUUAAUACUUAUACUAAGAAAUUACUGUCCGGUCGUGGUGGCUCACGCCUGUAAUCCCAGCACUUUGGGAGGCCGAGGCAGGUGGAUCACCUGAGGUCAGGAGUUCGAGACCAGCCUGGCGAACACAGUAGAACCCCCAUCUCUACUAAAAAUACAAAAAAUUAGCUGGGCGUGGUGGCGGGCGCCUGUAGUCCCAGUUACUCAGGGGCUAAGGCAGGAGAAUCGCUUGAACCCAGGAGGCAGAGGUUGCAGUGAGCCGAGAUCACGCCAUUGUACUCCAGCCUGGGCAACUAGAGCGAAACUCCGCUUCAAAAAAAAAUUACUCGUGGGUUCUCUGCAUUCCAAUUUUAGUGGGCAUCUUGCGUGUUAUCUCUACCCCUAUUUGGGGAGGGCUUUAUUUUCCUCAAUGGCGUCCCCACAUCAGGGCCUGUGUCUUGCACUCUCCCCCUGAGCGGGUAGCAGAGGCGUUAUCACAGAAGGAAGGUUCUGGGGAGUUGAAUCACAACAGGCCUCCGCCGCUAGCAGGGCGGGCGCGCCAGGGACUAGGCCGCUUGGCAGGUUCGCUUUUCUUCUUUCCAUUGCGCUGAACUCAAGGAGGAGGAGGAAAGUGGGAGCUGCUGCACUCACGGCUGAGUGUGCAUGGCUGGUAGGUGACAGCCUGAGGUCUGUUCGGUGACCCCGGCCCCUCGGAGGGCCCGCGGAGACUCAGAAUUAGCUGCACCUACCACGGUGCCCGCGGGUCGGGGUGCGGAUCCACACCCCAGAGGAAGGCCGCUCCCGGGCCGCGAGGACCUCGCUGGCGGCCGCUUGGGGCAGCAGACGCCCGCCCUGCGGGGAGGUGGGGCCUGCAGGCCGCGGGGCCGCUCUCGGAGCCCGGCAGGCCUGAGCAGGUCGGGGCGCGUGUUCCGGAAGCCCGGCCCCGGGCGCUGUGAGGGGCACCUGGGGACGCUCCGCGAGUCUGUGUCCCAGCGUGAGCUCAGCGGAAGACUGCAGAGUCCUGGGCCCACGAGAAUUCUGGCAGAAUCAGGCCUCCGGAUGUUCCAGGGACGUGUCCUGGUUCCCUGGCUGUUAUUACAAAGCAGCAGUUCAGAUCCAUGGAACUUCUCGACUGUUCUGCCUCUCGGUGACUUGAUCCAUCAACUGAAUAGUACAGCAUCUGAUCAGAUUUUAGAGAGGUAAGAGCAUUGGCUCUUCCUGUUUUCGAAGAUUUUCUUUCCGCACUCACUUGGCCUCAUGUUACCACCCCUUUCCUCUCUGGAGGAGCUGAAGAGAAUGGCUGGGUGGAUGCAUUUCGGGGAGCAUGCUCAGUGAGAUCCACUCUUCUGCAGGAGCC
rnacentral:lncRNA from 1 species